AGAGUUUGAUCAUGGCUCAGGAUGAACGCUAGCGGCAGGCUUAAUACAUGCAAGUCGUGGGGCAGCAGGGCUGUAGCAAUACAGUCGCUGGCGACCGGCAAACGGGUGCGGAACACGUACACAACCUUCCUUCAAGUGGGGGAUAGCCCGGGGAAACCCGGAUUAAUACCCCGUAUCAUAAUGAAGUGGCAUCACUUUAUUAUUAAAGCUCCGGCGCUUGAAGAUGGGUGUGCGGCUGAUUAGGUAGUUGGCGGGGUAACGGCCCACCAAGCCUACGAUCAGUAACUGGUGUGAGAGCACGACCAGUCACACGGGCACUGAGACACGGGCCCGACUCCUACGGGAGGCAGCAGUAAGGAAUAUUGGUCAAUGGACGCAAGUCUGAACCAGCCAUGCCGCGUGGAGGAUGAAGGUCCUCUGGAUUGUAAACUUCUUUUAUCUGGGAAGAAACCCAUGGAUUCUUCUGUGGUUGACGGUACCAGAUGAAUAAGCACCGGCUAACUCCGUGCCAGCAGCCGCGGUAAUACGGAGGGUGCAAGCGUUAUCCGGAUUCACUGGGUUUAAAGGGUGCGUAGGCGGACAGGUAAGUCAGUGGUGAAAUCUCUGGGCUUAACUCAGAAACUGCCGUUGAUACUAUUUGUCUUGAAUAUCCUGGAGGUAAGCGGAAUAUGUCAUGUAGCGGUGAAAUGCUUAGAUAUGACAUAGAACACCGAUAGCGAAGGCAGCUUACUACAGGAAGAUUGACGCUGAGGCACGAAAGCGUGGGGAGCAAACAGGAUUAGAUACCCUAGUAGUCC
rnacentral:rRNA from 1 species